UACUUGGUUGAUCCUGCCAAGGAAGCACACUUAGGUCAUAGAUUAAGCCAUGCAAGUGUUAGUUCAGGUAACGAAACUGCGAAUAGCUCAUUAAUACGCUCAGAAUCUAUUUGGCGGCGACCAACAGGUCUUAAAUGGAUAGCAGCAGCAACUCUGGUGCUAAUACAUGCGAUUGUUUCUCCAGAUGUGAAUUAUGGAGGAAAAGUUGACCUCAUCAGAGGCACGCCAUUCGACUGAGUGACCUAUCAGCUUGUACUUAGGGUCUUUACCUAGGUAGGCUAUCACGGGUAACGGGCGGUUACCGUCGGACUGCCGGAGAAGGCGCCUGAGAGAUAGCGACUAUAUCCACGGGUAGCAGCAGGCGCGAAACUUUCCCACUCGAGACUUUCGGAGGAGGUAAUGACCAGUUCCAUUGGUGCCUUUUGGUACUGUGGAUAGGGGUACGGUUUUCCACCGUACCGAAACCUAGCAGAGGGCCAGUCUGGUGCCAGCAGCUGCGGUAAUUCCAGCUCUGCGAGUUUGCUCCCAUAUUGUUGCAGUUAAAACGCCCGUAGUCUGAAUUGGCCAGCAAUGGUCGUACGUAUUUUUACGUUCACUGUGAACAAAUCAGGACGCUUAGAGUAUGGCCACAUGAAUGACUCAGCGCAGUAUGAAGUCUUUGUUUUCUUCCGAAAACAAGCUCAAUGAGAGCCAUCGGGGGUAGAUCUAUCUCAUGACGAGUGGUGGAAUACUUUGACUCAUGAGAGAGAAGCUGAGGCGAAGGCGUCUACCUAGAGGGUUUCUGUCGAUCAAGGGCGAGAGUAGGAGUAUCCAACAGGAUUAGAGACCCUGGUAGUUCCUACCUUAAACGAUGCCGACAGGAGUUUGUCAUUUGUUAAUGGCAGAAUCUUUGGAGAAAUCAUAGUUCUUGGGCUCUGGGGGAACUACGAC
rnacentral:ncRNA from 2 species